ACAGGAAGUGGCUCGGAUGCGCACGCACGACGUCCCCACAGCACUAGGGGCAGUUUCCUCCGCCGGCGUGGGAGAUCCCGGGCUCCCAGCAUUCUUGUUCGCGCCACCUCGCCCCUGCCCGCUUCGUGCCGGAGCGGGGUCGCAAGCUCCCGAGUCCCUCCGGUCCCUGCAGCCGGCGUCUCGCCGCCGUGCGACUCUCAGGUGUUGGUCACACUCACACUCUGCCCCGGCCAGGCCCUGUGCUGAGCGCCAGGUGUGUGCGAGGCAAGAACCCAGACAGGUGUCCGCGCGUUGCAGCUGGCAUUCUCCUGGGAAAGAGGUUGAUUGCAAAGACAUCCCAGGUCGUGACAGAGCCAAAAUGAGUCUGUUUGGAACAACCUCUGGUUUUGGAACUGGUGGGACCAGCAUGUUUGGCAGCACAACUACAGAUAACCACAACCCUAUGAAGGAUAUUGAAGUGACAUCCUCUCCUGAUGAUAGCAUUGGUUGUCUAUCUUUUAGCCCACCAACCUUGCCAGGGAACUUUCUUAUUGCAGGAUCGUGGGCUAACGAUGUUCGCUGCUGGGAAGUUCAGGACAGUGGACAGACUAUUCCUAAAGCCCAGCAGAUGCACACGGGGCCUGUCCUCGACGUCUGCUGGAGUGAUGAUGGGAGCAAAGUUUUUACGGCUUCAUGUGAUAAAACUGCCAAAAUGUGGGACCUUAACAGUAACCAAGCGAUACAGAUCGCACAGCAUGAUGCUCCUGUGAAAACCAUUCAUUGGAUCAAAGCCCCGAACUACAGCUGCGUGAUGACCGGGAGCUGGGAUAAGACUUUGAAGUUUUGGGAUACACGAUCAUCAAAUCCCAUGAUGGUUUUGCAGCUCCCUGAGAGGUGUUACUGUGCCGACAUGAUCUAUCCUAUGGCUGUGGUGGCAACUGCGGAGAGGGGACUGAUAGUCUAUCAGUUAGAGAACCAGCCUUCUGAAUUCAGGAGGAUAGAAUCUCCCCUGAAACACCAGGCACCUGCUCAUUCACUUUUGAGGAAUGCCGCCUGUCUUCCCCGGGUCACCGUGCAGAUGUGUUCUUGUAAAUCGUACCCCAGUUGUGUGGUUGCUGCCUGUGUGCGGGCAUUAGACCCUGUGCCGAGCUGGGGGGGCAGGCAGGGGCACCGCUUGGCCAGCUGUGGUUCCUCCUGUCCUCUAAGUACUUACAGACCUUUGUCUCUUUUUGUUAACUUUUUUUACUCACAGAAGUAAUGGGCUUGCUAUUUUGUUCAUUUGUUUUUAACCAGUUAACUGCCACGCAUCCAAAACGGAAACCAUCCCCACUGCCACGAUAGUUUGAAUUUUAAAAAAUCAAUUUGCAAUGAACAUUAUAAAAAUAAAUAUGUUACUCACAAUUUGGGUGUUCUUGAAUAUUUUCAGCUGCAAAUUCUCACGAAAAAUGAUUUUAAAGUUGGUCAGGGCUGCCACUUGGGGAAAACAUUUUUUUUUAUAGACACGCAUGGCGUGUGUGGAAGGCCUGCUGCUUGCGUCUACAGAACCUUAUGGCAUACAGUGGGUUAAAGAGCAAAUGGCACCAAAAGGGAACCAGCAUUCACUUUCCAUUUUUGUGGGACAUUUGUGUGUUCUGCAUCAUCACAGUAACAAAGUGCUCUUUCCCAUCAUCUCAUGCUGCUCAGGGCCGCACCUCCUGACCUCCGCAGAAGCUAAAGUGUCCAGCUUGGGCAGGGUGGGUGGUCCUCUGGGUUAGGCCAGGUUGUCUUGAGUAGGAGGAGGAAGGGAAGACCCAGAGGUGCCCGGCCCUGCUCCUUUGGGCCCCCAGACGCAGGGUUGGGUCAGGUGCAGUGACUUGCUUCGGCAUUGCCCUUUGUGGUUUAGAAAGUGCUGGCUCGGCCACUGUCCCACUGGACCCUUGGUCCCCAGUGAUAGCCAGGUGGGUACUGCUUCCCUUUUCCCGUGAGGGGCAGAGGCACAGAACACUGGGUCACGAUGAAGGGCGCCCACCGGGCAGUGCUGGGCUAAGAAUCACACUGACAUGUCUUCCUCCCUCCCCAUGAGAGGCCAGCACCAGAGAAGGGUCAGAUGGGGUCCUGAGGGUCGUGAGCGUUGCUGGAGUGGCGGCCAGGCCUCGGGGGUGGCAGAGAACGAGCAACUGGAUCAAAGCACAUGGCCUGCGGUUUCUUCAGAAGAAAGUCAGAAAAUAGUGCUUACUGGAGGAAUAUAUGAAAUGUUUUAUUUUACGCUGUGAGGAUGUGCUUGUCUUGUUUUUUCAAACUACAGCACCGAUGUGUGGCCAUCUUUAAAGACAAGCAGAACAAGCCGACGGGGUUCGCGCUGGGAAGCAUCGAGGGCAGAGUGGCCAUCCACUACAUCAACCCCCCAAACCCUGCCAAAGAUAACUUUACCUUUAAAUGUCACCGAUCUAACGGAA